rnacentral:rRNA from 1 species
GAUGAACGCUAGCGGCAGGCUUAACACAUGCAGGUCGAGGGGUAUAGGUUUUCGGACCUAGAGACCGGCGCACGGGUGCGUAACGCGUAUGCAAUCUACCUUUCACAGAGGGAUAGCCCAGAGAAAUUUGGAUUAAUACCUCAUAGUAUUAUGAAGUGGCAUCAUUUUAUAAUUAAAGUUCCAACGGUGAAAGAUGAGCAUGCGUCCCAUUAGCUAGAUGGUAAGGUAACGGCUUACCAUGGCGACGAUGGGUAGGGGUCCUGAGAGGGAGAUCCCCACACUGGUACUGAGACACGGACCAGACUCCUACGGGAGGCAGCAGUGAGGAAUAUUGGUCAAUGGACGCAAGUCUGAACCAGCCAUGCCGCGUGCAGGAUGACGGUCCUAUGGAUUGUAAACUGCUUUUGUACGAGAAGAAACACUCCUUCGUGAAGGAGCUUGACGGUAUCGUAAGAAUAAGGAUCGGCUAACUCCGUGCCAGCCGCCGCGGUAAGAC